GACGAACGCUGGCGGCGUGCCUAAUACAUGCAAGUCGAACGCUUCUUUCCUCCCAAGUGCUUGCACUCAAUUGGAAAGAGGGGUGGCGGACGGGUGAGUAACACGUGUGUAACCUACCCAUCAGAGGGGGAUAACACCUGAAAACAGUUGCUAAUACCGCAUAACAGUUUAUGCCGCAUGGCAUCAGAGUUUACGGCGCUGUCUGGGGUGGCUGAUGGAUGGAUCGGCGGCGCGUUAACUAGUUGGUGGGGUAACGGCCCACCAAGGCGACGAGCCGUAGCUGGACGGAGAGGAGGAGCGGCCACACGGGAACUGAGACACGGUCCAGACUCCUACGGGAGGCAGCAGUGGGGAAUAUUGGACAAUGGGCGCAAGCCUGAUCCAGCCAUACCGCGUGGGUGAAGAAGGCCUUCGGGUUGUAAAGCCCUUUUGUUGGGAAAGAAAAGCAGCAGGUGAAUACCCCGCUGUUCUGACGGUACCCAAAGAAUAAGCAACGGCUAACUUCGUG
rnacentral:rRNA from 1 species